UCUCCAGCCUGGGGCUCAGAUGUCUCUCUCACUCUCCUCCUGUCAGCUCUGUGGAGUUGGGGUAUAAAUCUUGCCUCACAUAGGUCGGCCAAUAACAAUGAGGCGGAUUUUCUGAUGAGCCAGCAAGAUUCCUCUCUGUGCCAGCUUCAGGAAAAAAGACUCAGAUCGGCUUAUUGAUGACACAAUAAGCAUUGCCAUGGCAACCAAGGAGAACAUGACCUCCCAGCGAGGAUUGUUGAAGUCUAUACAGAGCAGGGUCAACACCCUGGCCAACCGUUUCCCUGCCAUCAAUAACCUAAUACAGCGGAUCAACUUGAGGAAGAGAAGGGACUCAUUAAUUCUGGGAGGAGUCAUCGGCAUCUGCACCAUCCUUCUGCUGCUAUAUGCAUUUCACUGACAGACAGGGGAGCUAACCGACUUCUUUUGGGGGGAGUUCUGCAGAGCAGUGGCGAAACCUUGAGAAAGGGCUCAAUGAGAGGCGGACCAUUGGGGCCACAAAACAGAAGCCCACCUGGCCUAGUCUGGUAACAGGAUUGAUUGUAGCCAGCAUGGACCUUAUUUGUAUUUAGCACUGGGAGGGGUUUAGCUCUAACAGCCUUUUUUUGUUUCUAUACUACAAACAAUGCGCUGUUCAGAUGUAAACUGGGACUGGAGACCAAAUUACUAACAGAAAUAGAUUUCAAAGAGCAUAUUAUAACACAGUGGCGUUGAGACAAAAGCGAUGCUGUGGAGCAUCAACUUGGCGUUGUGCUGUUCCUGUAUAUUAUUAAUCGGAAGGGGGUUUUAAUUUGAUGAUCCAUUUAGAGGGUUUCUCAUCAUGCUGUGUACUUUGUGAAUUAAUAAAUUAUUCAUAUACAGGAUAUUAAAAAUGUGUGUCAAACACUAGAGGUCUGUCCUCUAAAGCUUCUAUUUUUUAGAUAUUUCUAAACACUCUCGUCGAUGACAUUUUACACUGGAGAAAGGAAUGUUGGAAACCAAAAAUAAAAAACUUGCAUUGCCAUAUCUAACCCUUCUCUUUCAAGGUGCUUUUGUUUUAUGCUUUUACUGAUGUGUUUUAAAGUCAAGAGCAGGUUCAAGUUAAGAAAAUCUGGCUAAACCAACAAGCCUGUACUCGCACCCCAUGGCCACUUGUCUAAGCUGGCUUGCAUCCACACAGCUCCUCCUAUGAAACUGGAGUGUGAGACAGAAGCAGGCCAGAGCUUUAACAUGAUGAAUAUACAAGCUGAAAACCAUUGAUCCAGGCGAAUGAAAAACUAGCACAGGGAUUGCAUGUAGAGGUAAGACCAGCACUCUACGCAGCAGGGUUGUAGGAAAGCGAAGCAAGGAUUGGAAGCCUUAUUGUCACCACCUGAUUCUCUAUCCCUCUUGUGUUUACAAAUGAUGUCCCAUCCAUAAAAGUGAGCGUUUACGCUGAGUCUCUCACAUCUGGAGCAGUCAGACCGGCUGGCUAUAUGCCAUAGUUCUUGUUAGACUGGUGGAAUCUGUUUGUCUGAGGUAUUUCCAUAGAUGCAUAAAGAGAGAGUGAUGUGCACAUAAACUCAAUAUAAUCGCUCAAUUGAGAAAUCGGCUUCCCCAAAACAAUAAACUAGAAUAGGCUGUUUGAAACUAA